AAAACGCGUGGGCUUCGCCUAGCGAGCAUGACAGUUCAUGAACAAACUUUUGCUCCUUCAAGAUUAACAUUUUGACUGAUGAAUAUACCCCAUUUGAACAUGUUAGAAGUAUCUCAAGCCAUUCCCUUGUGUUGACUGAUCACCCAGAUAGGACCCACAAAGUGUCUUGGAUGAUAUUCAAGCUUCUUGGAUCUAAUUCCGAUUGACAUGAUGAAAUGCAAUAUGAA
rnacentral:lncRNA from 1 species